rnacentral:rRNA from 1 species
UACGUAGGGUGCGAGCGUUAAUCGGAAUUACUGGGCGUAAAGCGUGCGCAGGCGGUUGGCAAAGUCAGCUGUGAAAGCCCCGGGCUCAACCUGGGAAUUGCAUUUGAGACUGAAUAGCUAGGGUGCGGAAGAGGGAAGCGGAAUUUCCGGUGUAGCGGUGAAAUGCGUAGAUAUCGGAAGGAACACCAGUGGCGAAAGCGGCUUCCUGGUCCAGCACCGACGUUCAGGCACGAAAGCGUGGGGAGCAAACAGG